rnacentral:rRNA from 1 species
GAUGAACGCUAGCUACAGGCUUAACACAUGCAAGUCGAGGGGUAACGAGAGGAAAGCUUGCUUUCCUUGUCGACGACCGGCGCACGGGUGAGUAACGCGUAUCCAACCUGCCCCCAACUAGGGAAUAACCUUGCGAAAGUAAGACUAGUACCCUAUAAUUUCCUCAGAUGUCAUCUGACGAGGAAUAAAGAUUUAUCGGUUGUGGAUGGGGAUGCGUCUGAUUAGCUUGUUGGCGGGGUAACGGCCCACCAAGGCAACGAUCAGUAGGGGUUCUGAGAGGAAGGGCCCCCCAUUGGAACGGAGACACGGUCCAAACUCCUACGGGAGGCAGCAGUGAGGAAUAUUGGUCAAUGGGCGGAAGGCUGAACCAGCCAAGUAGCGUGCAGGAUGACGGCGCUAUGUGUUGUAAACUGCUUUUACACAGGAAUAAAGUUAGCCACGUGUGGUUAUUUGUAGGUACUGUAUGAAUAAGGACCGGCUAAUUCCGUGCCAGCCGCCGCCGUAA